GAUGAACGCUGGCGGCGUGCCUAAUACAUGCAAGUCGAGCGAACGGACGAGAAGCUUGCUUCUCUGAUGUUAGCGGCGGACGGGUGGGUAACACGUGGAUAACCUACCUAUAAGACUGGGAUAACUUCGGGAAACCGGAGCUAAUACCGGAUGAUAUUUUGAACCGCAUGGUUCAAAAGUGAAAGACGGUCUUGCUGUCACUUAUAGAUGGAUCCGCGCUGCAUUAGCUAGUUGGUAAGGUAACGGCUUACCAAGGCAACGAUGCAUAGCCGACCUGAGAGGGUGAUCGGCCACACUGGAACUGAGACACGGUCCAGACUCCUACGGGAGGCAGCAGUAGGGAAUCUUCCGCAAUGGGCGAAAGCCUGACGGAGCAACGCCGCGUGAGUGAUGAAGGUCUUCGGAUCGUAAAACUCUGUUAUUAGGGAAGAACAUAUGUGUAAGUAACUGUGCACAUCUUGACGGUACCUAAUCAGAAAGCCACGGCUAACUACGUG
rnacentral:rRNA from 1 species